GAUGAACGCUGGCGGCGUGCCUAACACAUGCAAGUCGAACGAGAACCCAUUCUUCGGAUUGGGGGACAGUGGCGAACGGGUGAGUAACACGUUGGUGACCUGCCCCGAAGCGGGGGACAACCACGGGAAACUGUGGCUAAUACCGCAUGUGCUCCAGAGGGUUAGAGGACUCUGGAGUAAAGCUCCGGCGCUUCGGGAGGGGCCUGCGGCCUAUCAGCUAGUUGGUGGGGUAAUGGCCUACCAAGGCUAAGACGGGUAGGGGGCGUGAGAGCGUGACCCCCCACAAUGGAACUGAGACACGGUCCAUACUCCUACGGAAGGCAGCAGUGAGGAAUAUUGCGCAAUGGGGGCAACCCUGACGCAGCAACGCCGCGUGGGUGACGAAGGCCUUCGGGUCGUAAAACCCUUUUCUGGGGGAAGAGAAAGGACGGUACCUCAGGAAUAAGUCCCGGCUAACUACGUG
rnacentral:rRNA from 1 species